GGAGGUAUACCCAAGUUCGGCUGAAGGGAUCGGUCUUGAAAACCGACAGGCGGGUAAGACCGCGCGGGGGUUCGAAUCCCUCUACCUCCUCCA
rnacentral:tRNA from 3 species